rnacentral:lncRNA from 1 species
GGAUAUUUACUUGGCCAGGCCUAGAAGAGCAGGAAUACGAAGAAGAGUUCUUUGGUGACGAACAUGCGAACUAGGACGCUUUCCCAGUCGGAAUGCCUGUAGGGUUAAGGCAGAUAGCAUGGGUCCAAGUUAUCGUUGAGGAUUUCUGUUGCUCUGUUUCAUUUGCUGUUUAGCCCAGAGGCUCUGUCUAUGUAGGACUUGACCAUAAUGGUCCUAUUUGUGUAAUACCUUAUGUAAUGGAUGUAAACUCUUGAUAUUCAGCAUGUGGUGAGCAUUGAUCCUUGGGAUCACUGUGCACGCGCAAUCGGUCCCUUCGACUAUAUAAGUCGGGAUCCCCACAUCCAAGGAAGGCAACGAGGUAGCGGCAGGACCGGCAGCCGGUCGUCGGGAGGCGCGCCGGCGAGAGGUAGUGGCGGGGGCGAGGGAGAGGCAUUGGCUUUUACUCUACGCCCGAGCUACUGAGUAUAUUUUGUUGGGAAACGUAGCAUGCAAUUUCAAAAAAAAAUCCUACGCUGACGCAAGAUCUAUCUAGGAGAUGCAUAGCAACGAGGGGGGGAGUGUGUCUACGUUUAUUUGUGUAGGUGCAACCAUUGGUGACUUGUGUGUUCCUCCUACCGGAUUGAUACCUUGGUUCUCAAUUGAGGGAAAUACUUAUCUCUACUUUGCUGCAUCACCCUUUCCUCCUCAAGGGAAAAACCAGCACAAGCUCCGGAGGCGUCGGUCGUCGCGAGGAAGAAGAAGAAGAGGCAGAGGCAGGGGUAAAAGGUGAAAAGGAGGGCCAUGUCCCUAUUUAUAAGUAGGUGAUAAGAUGGCAUGCGCGGAGAUCGAGGAGGCAAAAUGAUUAUAUUAACCACACGGGUGCCUCGAUUUUCGGGAAGCCCAUUAAGAUAAAGAUCCAUUGAGAUAUCAUGGGUCUUGUGCGAAAUUAAUGCACAUGAUGUCAUGGCAAGUUGUAAUGAUUCUGUUAUAUGAUGACAUGGCGGGUUAUAGCGGUUUGCAUAACCUUCGGCACUGAUGCAGUCUGAUAAGUUAAAAUAGUAAAGAUUGAUGUGAACAAGUUCAAAUCAACCUGGGCCUAAUGUUGGGGAUAUAGCUCUGGGGUGUGACUCGCCCAGGAGGGGCAGGGUCACACCAUUGGCGGUAUAAUAUGAAGAAGGUCCAAGGAGGCCCAAGGGGAAGUAUGAAGAUGGCGGCUCUUGUAAGCAGGCCUGGUGAAGGCCCAAGACCUGGUCCUAUGAACCGCCUUAUGAAGACUUGAUCUGUAAGGCAUGACUAGUUAGAAACCGAGCCGAUCACGUUGUGUGACCCGGCCGGGACUCUGUAAGCCUCCGGGUCUCUACUGUGUAUAUAAAGGUGACACCCGGCAGCGAGUUAACUCGAGAGACAAUCAAUCGAGAACUAGGUCAAGCGUAUUCGCUCCCUUGUAAUCAAGACUCAAGCAAUACAACUAAAAGCAGGACGUAGGCUUUUACUCCUUGCGAGGGGCCGAACCUGGGUAAACUCCUUGUGUCCUUUGUCCCGUUCAACCCCUUCAAGCUAACCUAGUUGCGAUGGCUCCACACCUAAGUCCUUUAACCAGGGCAUCUGCCGUGACAAAUCCACGACAUAGGGCUUCAACAUCAACCUUGCUGCCCUUCCGAUGAUGUGUGAGUAGUUUACCAUAGACCUACGGGUCCAUAGCUAGUAGCUAGAUGGCUUCUUCUCUCUCUUUGAUCUUCAAUACAAUGUUCUUGGAGAUCUAUUCGAUGUAAUCUUCUUUUGUGGUGUGUUUGUUGUGAUCCGAUGAAUUGUGGAUUUAUGAUCAAAUUAUCUAUGAAUAUUAUUUGAGUCUUCUCUGAACUCUUUUAUGCAUGAUUAAGAUAGCCUUGUAUUUCUCUCCGAUCUAUUGAUUUGGUUUGGCCAACUAGAUUGAUUUUUCUUUCCAUGGGAGAGGUGCUUUGUAAUGGAUUCAGUCUUCCGGUGCUCAUACCCAGUGACCUAAGGGGACAUGAGACGUAUUUGUAUUGUUGCCAUUAAGGAUAAAAAGGUGGGGUUUAUUCAUAUUAAUUGGAUCUGUCCCUCUACAUCAUGUCAUCUUGUUUAAGGCUUUACUCCGUUCUUUAUGAACUUAAUACACUUGAUGCAUGUUGGAUAGUGGUCGAUGUGUGGAGUAAUAGUAGUAGAUGCAGGUAGGAGUCGGUCUACUUGUCACGGUCUGAUGCCUAUAUUCAUGAUCAUUGCCUUAGAUAUCGUCAUAACUUUGUGCUUUUCUAUCAAUUGCUCAACAGUAAUUUUUUUACCCACCGUAUGCGUUCUUUCAAGAGAGAAGCCUCUAGUGAAAACUAUGGCCCCCAGAUCUGUCUUUUAUCAUAUUAUUUUCAGAUCUACAAAACCAAAAAUCCAAAAGUACCUUGCGGAUAUUUAUUUACCUUUACUUUCUUUUGUACUUUUAUUUAUCUUUUAUAUACCCUAUCUCUAUCAGAUCUCAUCCUUGCAAGUAACCGUGAAGGGAUUGACAACCCCUUUCUCGCGUUGGGUGCAAGUAUUUGUUUAUUUGUGUAGGUGCAACCAUUGGUGACUUGUGUGUUCCUCCUACUGGAUUGAUACCUUGGUUCUCAAUUGAGGGAAAUACUUAUCUCUACUUUGCUGCAUCACCAUUUCCUCUUCAAGGGAAAAACCAGCGCAAGCUCAAGAAUUAGCGAGAAGAAUUUCUGGCGCCGUUGUCAAGGAGGAUCUACAUCAAGCCUACCAAGUACCCAUCAUAAACUCUAAUCUCUUGCAUUUACAUUAUUCACCAUUUGCCUCUCAUUUUCCUCUCCCCCACUUCUAAAAUGUUUUAUCGAAAACACAAAAAUGGUUUACUUUGUUGCUUUGCUUGCUUGUUUGGUACAAUUGCAUGUUUAUUGGAAAUAAAAAAAGCUAAUGGAUCCUCAUCCACUUGCUAAUCUUUUUAAAAGAUCCAAUUAUGAUGAACCAAUUGCUAGUGAGUUGAGUGCACUAGAUUGUCUUUAUGAAGUUUUGCUUGAAAUUAGUGAAUCUCAAAAUUGUGAUGAAGUGCUAAAGAAGAAAUUUAUGAAGUGAUUCAUGAUAGCUCCUUGAAUGAAAAGCAUGAUUGCAAUGAUGUUAUUAUAAAUUCUAUUAAUGUCAAUUGUGUUAAAGAUAUGCAAAACCCCAAGCUUGGGGAUGCUAAUUUUGCUAUGUCCACUAUUUAUUGUAAUGAUCAUGAUUGGGGUCAUGCAUCGUAUGAUCUUGAAAAUUUGUUUAAGACUCAUGAUGAAUAUGUUUGCAAUAAUAUUGAAAGUGGGUUUGAAAGAGUGUCAACAUUAGCUAAAAAUAAACCACAUAUUUGGAGAGUGUUCAAUCUUAUGAAUUUUUUGAUGAAAGUGGGUUUGGAGAGGUCAUGACUUUAGUUGAUGUCUGUAACAUCCCAAAAUUCUAAAUUUUGGAAUGUUAUAUUAAAUAAAUUAUAUGAUUGUUUGUUUGAUUGAUUGACUGAAAGUGAGUGCAAUUUGAAACUUUUGAAAGUUGAAUGAGAGGGAAUAAAAGGACUUUCCCAAAACUUUCAUCUUUGCAAUUUGAUGUCCAUGAAUUCAAAUUCAUUUCAACACAAAACCCUAGAGUGAAGAUGACAUGACUUCUUCCAUUUGAAUUACAAAGGGUUUUCAAAAAGAUUUGAAUUCCAUUUGGAAAUAUUUCAAAUUCUAAAACUUUAUGCAGCUCAAUGAUUUUCAUGAGAGAAGACAAAAUGACUUCUUCAAUUAUAUGAAAUAUGAGUUGGAAGUUAAAAAAGAAUCAAAUUGAAAGUCAUCUGAAAGUAUUUUGAAACUCCCUUUCAAAUUUGGAAUUAUUUGGAUUUUAUUCAAAAUUAUUUUUCUCCUAAAAAUAAAUAAAUGGAAAUAAGGGUAAAAUGAUUCCCUUCAAUGGAAAAUUAGGAGAAAAUAAUUUUGAAAUUUUUUUGGUAUUUUAAAAAUGAUUUUUGUUGAGUUUUAUUGCAAUAGUAGCACUGUUUGCCUUUUUACCUUUUUGUGUAUUUUAUUUGAACCUGGAAAAUAGUUCAUGUUUUAGGAAAUGUUUUUCUGAAAAUUUUGAUAUAUUAUGUGUCCUAUAUAUUGUUUUUCUCUAUAUCUUAUUUUCUCCCAUCUUAUUCCAAAAAAAGGAAAACCUAGCGCUAGCCAGGCCAGGCGGCCCAGGAGCCAGCCAGCCAGCCACUCGAGCCGCGGCCCAGCCAGCGCCGUCGCCCGAAGCCCCUCUCCUUCGGUCGCCCGCUCCUCUCUCUCUCGCCCUUGUGCCACUGACCGCUGGGCCCCACUGCCCGAUCGCCCACGCCCGCUGCUUCUUCUUCCUCUCCACGACAAACCGCGCCGCCGCCGCCGCCGCCGAAUCCCGCGUUCCUCAGGAUCCUCUCCCCGAUCUCCCCCCUCCUCCAAGUCGACCCCGCCCCUAUAAAUACCCCUCCCCUCACCCCGUUCCGCCCCUUCCCGACUCCCGAACCCCUCUCCGCUCGCCGCCAUUUCUCGCCGGAGCCCGAGCUCCGCCGCCCGCCAUUGCUGCUGCUGCGCCCGACCCCGACCACCUCAUCGUCGCCUGAAACCACCAUCGAACUCCACUCACCUUCCCGCAUCGCCUGAGAUGCUCCUCCGUCGCCAAAGACCCCUGGAGCUGUCGCACCCUUCAACCACCGAACGCCACCCGCCGCUAUCGAUCUCGCUCCGCUCGAGUCCGUCUUUCCUGAGCUCACUGCCGACUACCAUCGUCAUCGCCGUCGUCUUCUGCAUCUCCUGGAGCAGCCUACACCGCCGGAGGACCACCGGAGGCCUCACCAGCAACGCCGCCCGAGCGCCACCACCGUCGACACCGUCGCCGGAGUUCCUCACCACCGCGGUGAGUUUCUCCUCCCUCCGAUCUAAUUUCAACGGCCCAGAUUACUUUACGCGAACAGUUAGGUUUUAUUUUAUUAGGCGGUUUUUGUGCGGUUUAUUUACGGUUUAGCUUGGUUCAGGUCGAACAGAGCCCCUCUUGUUUUUUUAGUCGCACACUCCCGUUCUGUUAAAAAUCGGCCAAGCGCCGUUUAUCUUCGGAUCGCCCACACUCUGGCCCGAUAGCAGUAGGCCACGUAGCUAGUGACCGAUUGUUUUUUUUUGUUUUGAUUUUCGUUUCUACUUUAAAAAAAACAGAAUAGUUCUGAUUUUAUAUUGCUUAUAACUUUUAUGUUUUAGAUCCGAAUUUAGUGUUUCUUUUUGCAUUAGUUUUAUAAUUUCUUGAAGUUUCUGCUAGUGCAAUUGGAUUCCAUAUUUGAGUUGUUUAAAAUUGAAUUUGAUGAAAUUUGUUCAAAUCACUAAUUUGCUCGUAUCUUGAGUUCUAUAAAAUAUUUUUGAUUGAUUCUUUUUGCUACUGUUUUGUUAUAGUUUUGUCUAUCCAGUAGCAUAUAGUGAUUUAUUUUUAGUUUAAUUUAAAUUAGGGUUUUAGGCAAAACAGUACUGUUUUCGAUGUAGUUUUGUUUUGUUUGUAACUUAGUGAGUUUUAUUUAGAUUUAAUUAGUUCUUUUUGCAAAGUUUUGUUCAAUGUAAUAUACUUCUGUUAGAAUUCAGUAGAUAAUUUUAGAAAUUAUUUUUAUUAGUUUUGCUACUGUUUAGGAUUUCAGUUUAGCAGAGUUAGUGUAUAGUGUAUGUAAUAGCUAGUAUUGUAGUUAUUUUGCUAGAAAUUAUUUUAGAUAAUUUCUUUCUGUUGUUUUGAUGAAAAUAGAUUUUAUUUUCUGUUAAGUAAUUUCUUAGAUUAAUUUAGUGUGGUUAUGAAAGUUAUUGGUUGAUAUUGUGUGUGUUGGUUUUCCCUAGUUUUCCUUAAAGUUUUCUUUGGAUACUUUUUGGCCUUCUUUGAUUUCAUUAUUGUUUUAUUUAUCUAUUUUAUUUAGUUGAGUGUUAUUUUGAUUGAUAGUAUUGAUUGCUAGGACUGAUUGCUUAUGUGAAUACUACGUUUGAUUAUAUAGAUUUCAACGGACUGACGAAUAGUUCUACCAAGUCAUUAUUCUGAGAGUGUUGUUAUCUUCAUCAAGUAAUACCAGGCAAGUUCACUUUGACCAUGUUUUUCAUACCUAUGUUUUUAUUGCAUCUAGUGUCAUCUUCGCAACAAUCCCUCCAGUAGUGAUAUUGAAUCCUUGUAGUUGAGUAGUAUGCAUGAGGUAGGAACCCAUCACCCUGUUACCAAGCCCGGGACGUUAUUUAUU